CACGUAGGGCGCAAGCGUUGUCCGGAAUUAUUGGGCGUAAAGAGCUCGUAGGUGGUUUGUUACGUCCGCUGUGGAAUCCUAGGGCUUAACCCUGGGCUUGCAGUGGAUACGGGCAGACUAGAGGUAGGUAGGGGGAGAAUGGAAUUCCUGGUGUAGCGGUGAAAUGCGCAGAUAUCAGGAGGAACACCGGUGGCGAAGGCGGUUCUCUGGGCCUUACCUGACACUGAGGAGCGAAAGCGUGGGGAGCGAACAGG
rnacentral:rRNA from 1 species